UACGUAGGGUGCAAGCGUUAAUCGGAAUUACUGGGCGUAAAGCGUGCGCAGGCGGUUUUGUAAGUCUGUUGUGAAAUCCCCGGGCUCAACCUUGGAAUGGCAAUGGAGACUGCAAGGCUAGAGUUUGGCAGAGGGGGGUAGAAUUCCACGUGUAGCAGUGAAAUGCGUAGAUAUGUGGAGGAACACCGAUGGCGAAGGCAGCCCCCUGGGUCAAAACUGACGCUCAUGCACGAAAGCGUGGGGAGCAAACAGG
rnacentral:rRNA from 1 species